rnacentral:rRNA from 1 species
CAGCAGCCGCGGGAAAACGGAGGGUGCAAGCGUUAAUCGGAAUUACUGGGCGUAAAGGGUGCGUAGGCGGUUUGAUAAGUCUGAUGUGAAAUCUAUGGGCUCAACCCAUAGUCUGCAUUAGAAACUGUCGGGCUUGAGUAUGGGAGAGGUGAGUGGAAUUUCCGGUGUAGCGGUGAAAUGCGUAGAUAUGCGGAGGAACACCGAUGGCGAAGGCAAUCCCCUGGACCUGUACUGACGCUCAUGCACGAAAGCGUGGGGAGCAAACGGGAUUAGAUACCCCCGUAGUCCCUGUCUCUUAUAC